UUUUUUCCCCAUUUUUCUGUUUUCCAUCUGUUGGUUUGAACUUCUAGCUUUAUAAAAAUUUCCCCCUCUUUUUGGUUGAGUUAGUUGUUUGGUAUUGUUUAUGGUCACAGGUUUGUUGUGAGCUUGCAUUUUUGUUUUUCAUUUUUCAAUUGAAAAUUUGUUCUGUAGUGAUUAGGUGAUUGUGAAUGCAGACAGUUUAGGAUGUAAUGUACAACUGAGGAUGGAAUUAUGUACAGCAGAGUGUAAAAAGGCAGUCCAUUCAUCAUUUCAUUUGUUUUUAAUAAAAGUGUGCUUAUAUAUAUAUUCUUUUCAAAAAAACAAAUGAAAUGAUGAAUGGACU
rnacentral:misc_RNA from 1 species